rnacentral:rRNA from 1 species
GAUGAACGCUAGCUACAGGCUUAACACAUGCAAGUCGAGGGGCAUCACAAGGUAGCAAUACUGAGGUGGCGACCGGCGCACGGGUGAGUAACACGUAUCCAACCUGCCGUUUACUCUUGGAUAGCCUUCUGAAAAAGGAGAUUAAUACAAGAUAGUAUCAUGAGAUCACAUGUUCACAUGAUUAAAGAAUUUCGGUAAACGAUGGGGAUGCGUUCCAUUAGAUAGUAGGCGGGUAACGCCCACCUAGUCUACGAUGGAUAGGGGUUCUGAGAGGAACGGUCCCCCA